AAUAAAAAUAUUUAUAUGUAUGGAAUUCCUAUAUUUUGACAAAUUUUAUGUUUUUAUUUUUUAUAUUUAAAAAUCUCUGAACAUGGCACACUUUUUUUACAUAUUCUACGUAAUAAAUUGUCUGUUCCAACAAAAAAACAUACUUAUAUAUAUAUAUAUAUACGGCACUGGUGACAACAAUGGCGGCGAAGGAAGGAAGGAAAUCAGUAACCCUAUGUUUUUGAGACUGGAAAUUGGUAUUUUUGCACAAAAAUUAAUCUGUAUGCAAAGUUUGUCGGAAUUUUGAAAGAAUCAAGUCUUGACAUUUUGUUAUAAACAAAAGUAUCGGUAUUUUUCAAAAGGUUCGCGAAUGUGAAUUUGUAAGCUUUCAGAAGACAAAAGGAAGCAUAUUGUACAGAGUGCUGUUAAAAACUGAUAUAAGCUCCAUGUGUUUUUAAACAGCAAGAUCAAAAAAUUUCGAAAAAAGGAAAGAUAAGUUAAAUGUAAUUUGUGUACGCGAUAUAUUGGUCCAAGUGCCAAGAAGAGCUAAAGUUCUACCUAAUAGGGUAAACAGUGCUUCUCAUGGUACAUUAAAAUCAAAUUAGUUUAUUGUCGGAUCAACCAAUCAAAUCGGUCAAUAACGACUCAGUAAAAAGUUUGAAAGUUGAAACUGAAAUUUCAUUUUCAUUAUUUGUCAUUUUUUAUAUUGCUUUUGUUAAAAGGAAUAAAAAUAGCAAUUUUAUUAAACUUCUUGUUUGCAAUGAAA